rnacentral:rRNA from 1 species
ACGGGUGAGUAAUGCCUAGGAAUCUGCCUGAUAGUGGGGGAUAACGUUCGGAAACGGACGCUAAUACCGCAUACGUCCUACGGGAGAAAACAGGGGACCUUCAGGCCUUGCGCUAUCACAUGAGCCUAGGUCGGAUUAGCUAGUUGGUGAGGUAAUGGCUCACCAAGGCGACGAUCCGUAACUGGUCUGAGAGGAUGAUCAGUCACACUGGAACUGAGACACGGUCCAGACUCCUACGGGAGGCAGCAGUGGGGAAUAUUGGACAAUGGGCGAAAGCCUGAUCCAGCCAUGCCGCGUGUGUGAAGAAGGUCUUCGGAUUGUAAAGCACUUUAAGUUGGGAGGAAGGGCAUUAACCUAAUACGUUAGUGUUUUGACGUUACCGACAGAAUAAGCACCGGCUAACUCUGUGCCAGCAGCCGCGGUAAUACAGAGGGUGCAAGCGUUAAUCGGAAUUACUGGGCGUAAAGCGCGCGUAAGUGGUUUGUUAAGUUGGAUGUGAAAUCCCCGGGCUCAACCUGGGAACUGCAUUCAAAACUGACUGACUAGAGUAUGGUAGAGGGUAGUGGAAUUUCCUGUGUAGCG